CGUUUAAACACCGGUUCCUGUUCGACCACGGAAAUCAAGCAACGUUGAGCCAGGUCAAUUACUGGAUGGGUGACCGCUUAGGAAUACCAGUUGCUGAA